CUGGGUUUGACAUAUACCUGACCGCCAUGGAAACAUGGUUUCUCUUCGGAGCGGGUAUACAGGUGCUGCAUGGCUGUCGUCAGCUCGUGCCGUGAGGUGUUCGGUUAAGUCCGGCAACGAGCGCAACCCGUGUGAUUAGUUACCAGCACGUAAUGGUGGGGACUCUAGUCAGACUGCCCGUGUCAAGCGGGAGGAAGGCGCGGAUGACGUCAAGUCCGUAUGGCCCUUACAUCCAGGGCUGCACACGUGCUACAAUGGCCGGUAUAAUGGGCAGCGACACAGCGAUGUGUAGCUAAUCCUCAAAACCGGCCCCAGUUCGGAUUGGAGUCUGCAACUCGACUCCAUGAAGUCGGAAUCGCUAGUAAAGGCGUAUCAGCAAUGACGCCUUGAAUACGUUCCCG
rnacentral:rRNA from 1 species